rnacentral:lncRNA from 1 species
UCACCGAGGUUGUAUAUGACUCCAUAAAAAUUAAAAUUUUGUAUGAGAGAAAAAUGUCUCAAAGUCAAAGUCAACAGACUGGAGAAAUAGAUCUGAUGAUAGUUUCUUGAACUUGUGGGAAUCCAUGAGAAAAUCUGACAUUAUGUUCUAUUCUCUUGGAAGGUAGAAAUAUCGUUUGACUUCUAUUUUGCUGACAAGAAAUGUCCUGAGCAAGGCUACCUGGGACAAUGACCUCACACAUGGAAAACAUUGGAGCCCAUCUCUUUCCAAUCUGCUGUUUUCCAAAAAUUAGGGAAGUUCAGUUUUCCCUUUGAUACUCUCUGUUGCUACCAAUCCCAAUGCCAGGGCUGUCCUGCUUAUACAAGUGACAAUGACAAAUAUAGGCCUGAAGAAAGAUGAGCUGAUGGUAUUCCCAGCUUAUUACCUCUCCUUGGGGGCCUUAUCUCACAUACAUGGAUUCAACUCAUAGACUCAGCUGGGUGAGGAUCUAUUAUUCAGCUACAUUAGAAGUGACUGCUUAAGACUCAGGUGUGUGG